GACGUAGGGCGCGAGCGUUGUCCGGAUUUAUUGGGCGUAAAGAGCUCGUAGGCGGCUUGUUGCGUCGACUGUGAAAACCCGCGGCUUAACUGCGGGCUUGCAGUUGAUACGGGCAGGCUAGAGUUCGGUAGGGGAGACUGGAAUUCCUGGUGUAGCGGUGAAAUGCGCAGAUAUCAGGAGGAACACCUGCGGCGAAGGCGGGUUGCUGGGCCGACACUGACGCUGAUGCGCGAAAGCCAGGGGAGCGAACAGG
rnacentral:rRNA from 1 species